GAUGAAGAACGUAGCGAAAUGCGAUACGUAAUGUGAAUUGCAAAUUCAGUGAAUCAUCGAGUCUUUGAACGCACAUUGCGCCCCCUGGUAUUCCGGGGGGCAUGCCUGUCCGAGCGUCAUUGCUGCCCUCAAGCACGGCUUGUGUGUUGGGCCCCGUCCUCCGAUCCCGGGGGACGGGCCCGAAAGGCAGCGGCGGCACCGCGUCCGGUCCUCGAGCGUAUGGGGCUUUGUCACCCGCUCUGUAGGCCCGGCCGGCGCUUGCCGAUCAACCCAAAUUUUUAUCCAGGUUGACCUCUGAUCAGGUAGGGAUACCCGCUGAACUUAAGCAUAUCAAUAAGCGGAGGA
rnacentral:misc_RNA from 1 species